AUACAAUAUCAUAGUGCAGACUGCCUCAAGACCACGCUCUUCUAGAAGUGGCAGCGGAUGGUGGUGCUGCCAGGUAACUAUCGCCCCGAUACAAUAUCAUAGUGCAGACUGCCUCAAGACCACGCUCUUCUAGAAGUGGCAGCGGAUGGUGGUGCUGCCAGGUAACUAUCGUCCCGCUACAAUAUCAUAGUGCAGACUGCCUCAAGACCACGCUCUUCUAGAAGUGGCAGCGGAUGGUGGUGCUGCCAGGUAACUAUCGUCCCGCUACAAUAUCAUAGUGCAGACUGCCUCAAGACCACGCUCUUCUAGAAGUGGCAGCGGAUGGUGGUGCUGCCAGGUAACUAUCGCCCCGAUACAAUAUCAUAGUGCAGACUGCCUCAAGACCACGCUCUUCUAGAAGUGGCAGCGGAUGGUGGUGCUGCCAUGUAACUAUCGCCCCGCUACAAUAUUAUAGUGCAACAAUUUGCUUAAGGUCUUGUUUGCACUGGUUUAAUACUUCAGUGAAGUAGUGCGUAAUUAUGGGCUGUAUUUAUAAAAUACUAUUGAUUAAUAUUGGAAGAAAGGGGUUACUACGCGGUUAAGCCAUGCUUUUUCAUGUAAAUUUGAAGCCCUUUAAUCUUAUCGAAUAAAGACAUCUUACAGUGCCACUGAAGAUACUAAACUACUUAAAAUGGCACAGUCAAGAUAUGUUCCUCUGGCUUGCGUUAUUUGUAUGCAAUAGUAAUGGGUCAUUGACCGAAAUUGUUUCUUCUUUGCGUAUGUACUUAUGAUACAUAUUAUUUUUUCUCGUUUAUAUUUAUGUAAGCCUUAAUUUAUGUUUCAAACCUAUUUUUUUUUAUUUAUUGCUUGGUUUUGGUAGUCCAGAACAUCUGUUUUGAGUCACGGACGAGUAAAGAAAGAAGGACUCCGCGCCGUGAUAUUAGCAAGUGAAAUACCGUUAUGCUAGUGUGUGUGCGGAUGCUAGUUACACAAUUUUUUCUCCCUUAAAUAAUCAAAUAUGGCCGCAAAUACUUAUAUAGUAUAAUUUUUACACUUUUUCACAACGUACGAUGGCAUUUUUAAAAUAUUUUAUUGAGACGCAAACUGAUCUGUCACAGACGAUGACAAUUCUCAUAAUGGCCGCCAAUCGGCCUGUAGUAGUGUAAGUGUGUGCGUGGGGCUAUGUAUAUACACGUUAAUUGGUUUGUUUUGGUGCUACACUGUUAUGUAAGGUGACACGGGGUCCUUAUUUUUGUGCUAGUCCGUGUUUUCAGUGAGUAUUAUGUUGAUUUUAGUUUGACAAUAUGUUUGUGUG